UGGGCUGGUCGCAAGACCCAGGUCCAUCAACGGCGGGAAGUUCCCC
rnacentral:sRNA from 12 species